rnacentral:rRNA from 1 species
GCCCCUACCACCUUGUUAUUGCCUAAUCUUGUCUAAUCUCUGAAGCGAUGCAGGGUUGGGCCUUAGUACUUGGAUGGGAGACCGCUGGAAUACCACAUGCCACAGAGGGCU